UAUGUGAUCGUCUCUCGCAUAUCAAUAAGCGGAGGAAAAGAAACUAACAAGGAUUCCCCUAGUAACGGCGAGUGAAGCGGGAAGAGCUCAAAUUUGAAAUCUUAAAGGGUUUCCCUUUACGAAUUGUAGUUUAAAGAAGUGUUUUCUGUUGAGGUUUUGGUAAAAGUUCUUUGGAAUAGGACAUCAUAGAGGGUGAGAAUCCCGUAUUUGACCUUUACUUUCAACUUUGUGAUACACUUUCAAAGAGUCGGAUUGUUUGGGAAUGCAGUCCAAAAUGGGUGGUAAAUUUCAUCUAAAGCUAAAUAUUGGCGAGAGACCGAUAGCGAACAAGUACCGUGAGGGAAAGAUGAAAAGAACUUUGAAAAGAGAGUUAAACAGUACGUGAAAUUGUCAAAAGGGAAGCGUUUGACACCAGUGUUGUUUUUCUGAAAAUCAAUUAAAGAACUGUUUAUGCUAAGUUGUUUAGACUUUAUCAGCUAUACUGUUUAGUUUUGAGCUUUUCUUUAAUGCACUUUUCAGUUAACAAGUCAACAUCAAUUUCUUUUGCUGUAAAAAAGCUUGAGGAAGGUGGCUUGAGAUUCGUCUUAAGUGUUUAUAGCCUCUUGCCUAUGCAGUCGGAGAGAUUGAGGUCUGCAGCGUAGAUCCUUCGGGGCUAAAUGCAUUUGUGCUAAGUUAUAGCAUUUUAUAGACAACUUGUUGACUAUGAUUUGUCUUGUAGCUUACUCGCUUAUGUUAUUUUACCUACGCUUAGGAUGUUGACACACGCGCGUGCUCG
rnacentral:rRNA from 1 species